rnacentral:rRNA from 1 species
UACGUAGGCAGCAAACGUUGUUCGGAAUUACUGGGCGUAAAGAGUGUUUAGGCGGUUGGGCAAGUCUGGUGUGAAAUCUCCCGGCUUAACUGGGAGGGUGCGCUAGAAACUGCCUGGCUUGAGUGUCGGAGAGGAAGGCGGAAUUCCUGGAGUAGCGGUGAAAUGCGUAGAUAUCAGGAGGAACACCAGCGGUGUAGAAGGCCUUCUGGACGACAAUUGACGCUGAGACACGAAAGCGUGGGGAGCAAACAGG